rnacentral:tRNA from 2 species
UCCCUGGUGGUCCAGUGGCUAAGACUCUGCACUCCCAAUGCAGGGGGCCUGGGUUCAAUCCCUGGUCAGGGAA